rnacentral:rRNA from 1 species
UACGGAAGGGGCAAGCGUUGUUCGGAAUCAUUGGGCGUAAAGGGCGCGCAGGUGGCUCUGUAUGUCUGCCGUGAAAGCAUACAGCUCAACUGUAUUGUGUCGGUAGAAACUGCAGGACUUGAGGCUGGGAGGGGCUGGUGGAAUUCCCUGUGUAGCGGUGAAAUGCGUAGAGAUCAGGAGGAAUACCGAUGGCGAAGGCAGGUCCCUGGGCUGACACUGACGCUCAUGCACGAAAGCGUGGGGAGCAAACAGG